rnacentral:rRNA from 1 species
UACGUAGGUCACGAGCGUUAUCCGGAAUUAUUGGGCGUAAAGAGUGAGCAGGCGGCAUAGCAAGUCUGAGGUGAAAGCGUGGGGCUCAACCCCAUACAGCCUUGGAAACUACUAAGCUAGAGUGCGUGAGAGGUAAACGGAACUCCAUGUGUAGCGGUGAAAUGCGUAGAUAUAUGGAAGAACACCAGUGGCGAAGGCGGUUUACCAGCACUGCACUGACGCUCAGUCACGAAAGCGUGGGGAGCAAAUA